UUUCCGUAGGUGAACCUGCGGAAGGAUCAUUAAUGAGUUGUCAUGGGGUUCGAUGCUGGCAGCCAGUUUUUGGAUGCAUGUGCUUGCCCUAACAAUCAUCUUCUUCCAAACACCUGUGCACAUUUUUGAGGGAGUCUUGAGUUGGUUGCCGCUCUUGGGUGAUUUUCUCACAUUCCCUUAAAUCAUUAUACGCUAUUAACAAUGUUGAACGUGCUCUGUGCCGCAAGGCCAUUAAUAUAAUACAACUUUUAACAACGGAUCUCUUGGCUCUCGCAUCGAUGAAGAACGAAGC
rnacentral:misc_RNA from 1 species